ensembl:snoRNA SNORD18 Small nucleolar RNA SNORD18
CAACAGUGAUGAGCUUCUACUUUAGUCCGUGUUUUUGAACACAAUGAUAUCAUCAAAGUUCUGAGUGA